rnacentral:rRNA from 1 species
UACAGAGGGUGCGAGCGUUGUCCGGAAUCACUGGGCGUAAAGGGCGCGUAGGUGGUGGCUUAAGCGUGCGGUGAAAGCUCGGAGCUCAACUCCGAGUCGGCCGUGCGAACUGGGCUCACUGGAGCAUAGUAGAGGCAGGUGGAAUUCCGGGUGUAGCGGUGGAAUGCGUAGAGAUCCGGAAGAACACCGGUGGCGAAGGCGGCCUGCUGGGCAGUUGCUGACACUGAGGCGCGACAGCGUGGGGAGCAAACAGG